CCUACGGGUGGCAGCAGUGGGGAAUAUUGCGCAAUGGGCGAAAGCCUGACGCAGCGACGCCGCGUGAGGGAUGAAGGUCUUCGGAUCGUAAACCUCUGUCAGCAGGGAAGAACGGUCACUGUGCUAAUCAGCAGUGAAUUGACGGUACCUGCAAAGGAAGCACCGGCUAACUCCGUGCCAGCAGCCGCGGUAAUACGGAGGGUGCGAGCGUUAAUCGGAAUUACUGGGCGUAAAGCGCUCGUAGGCGGUAUGUCAAGUCAAGGGUGAAAUCCCCGCGCUCAACGUGGGAACUGCCUUUGAAACUGGCAAACUGGAGUGUGUGAGAGGAUAGUGGAAUUCCAGGUGAAGGAGUGAAAUGCGUAGAUAUAUGGAGGAACAUCAGUGGCGAAGGCGACUAUCUGGCACAUAACUGACGCUGAGGAGCGAAAGCGUGGGUAGCAAACAAGAUUAGAUACCCGAGUAGUC
rnacentral:rRNA from 1 species